rnacentral:rRNA from 1 species
AUGAACGCUAGCGACAGGCUUAACACAUGCAAGUCGAGGGGUAACAGGGUAGCAAUACCGCUGACGACCGGCGCACGGGUGAGUAACGCGUAUGCAACCUGCCUAUAACUGGGGAAUAGCUCCCUGAAAGGGGAAUUAACACCGCAUAACACUAUUGAUUCGCAUGGAUUAGUAGUUAAAUGUAGCGAUACAGGUUAUAGAUGGGCAUGCGUGACAUUAGCUAGUUGGUGAGGUAACGGCUCACCAAGGCUACGAUGUCUAGGGGUUCUGAGAGGAAGGUCCCCCACACUGGUACUGAGACACGGACCAGACUCCUACGGGAGGCAGCAGUGAGGAAUAUUGGUCAAUGGGCGCAAGCCUGAACCAGCCAUGUCGCGUGCAGGAAGACUGCCCUAUGGGUUGUAAACUGCUUUUAUAGUAGAAGAAACACAUCUACGUGUAGAUGUCUGCCAGUAUACUAUGAAUAAGCAUCGGCUAACUCCGUGCCAGCCGCAGC